UAUACAAUCUACCUUUUACUGGGGAAUAGCCUUUGGAAACGAAGAAUAAUACCCCAUAGUAUCUAAAUUUCGCAUGUUAUUUAGAUUAAAGUUUCGGCGGUAAGAGAUGAGUAUGCGUUCUAUUAGCUAGAUGGUGUGGUAACGGCACACCAUGGCAACGAUAGAUAGGGGCCCUGAGAGGGGGAUCCCCCACACUGGUACUGAGACACGGACCAGACUCCUACGGGAGGCAGCAGUGAGGAAUAUUGGACAAUGGGCGAAAGCCUGAUCCAGCCAUGCCGCGUGCAGGAAGACUGCCCUAUGGGUUGUAAACUGCUUUUAUACGGGAAGAAACCCAUCUACGUGUAGGUGGCUGACGGUACCGUAAGAAUAAGCAUCGGCUAACUCCGUGCCAGCAGCCGCGGUAAUACGGAGGAUGCAAGCGUUAUCCGGAAUCAUUGGGUUUAAAGGGUCCGUAGGUGGAUUGGUAAGUCAGAGGUGAAAGCCUGCAGCUCAACUGUAGAACUGCCUUUGAUACUGCUAGUCUUGAAUUAUUGUGAAGUGGUUAGAAUAUGUAGUGUAGCGGUGAAAUGCAUAGAUAUUACAUAGAAUACCAAUUGCGAAGGCAGAUCACUAACAAUAUAUGACACUGAU
rnacentral:rRNA from 1 species